GAUGAACGCUGGCGGCGUGCCUAAUACAUGCAAGUCGAGCGAACAGACGAGGAGCUUGCUCCUCUGACGUUAGCGGCGGACGUGUGAGUAACACGUGGAUAACCUACCUAUAAAACUGGGAUAACUUCGGGAAACCGGAGCUAAUACCGGAUAAUAUAUUGAACCGCAUGGUUAAAUAGUGAAAGACGGUUUUGCUGUCAAUUAUCCAUGGAUCCGCGCCGCAUUAGCUAGUUGGUAAGGUAACGGCUUACCAAGGCAACGAUGCGUAGACGACCUGAGAUGGUGAUCGGCCACACUGGAACUGAGACACGGUCCAGACUCCUACGGGAGGCAGCAGUAGGGAAUCUUCCGCAAUGGGCGAAAGCCUGACGGAGCAACGCCGCGUGAGUGAUGAAGGUCUUCGGAUCGUAAAACUCUGUUAUUAGGGAAGAACAAAUGUGUAAGUAACUAUGCACGUCUUGACGGUACCUAAUCAGAAAGCCACGGCUAACUACGUG
rnacentral:rRNA from 1 species